UACAGAGGGUGCGAGCGUUAAUCGGAAUUACUGGGCGUAAAGGGCGCGUAGGCGGAUGGCACAGUCAGAUGUGAAAUUCCCGGGCUUAACCUGGGGGCUGCAUUUGAUACGUGUUGUCUUGAGUUCGGAAGAGGGUCGUGGAAUUCCCAGUGUAGAGGUGAAAUUCGUAGAUAUUCGGAAGAACACCAGUGGCGAAGGCGACUUACUGGACACAUAUUGACGCUGAGGUGCGAAAGCGUGGGGAGCAAACAGG
rnacentral:rRNA from 1 species